GCCGAUUCCUCCUUCUUGUAGAACCGUAAUGCCAUUAAUUUGGUGUUGCGGGGAAACAGGACUGUUACUUUGAAAAAAUUAGAGUGUUUAAAGCAGGCUAGCGCCUGAAUACAUUAGCAUGGAAUAAUGAAAUAGGACGUUCGAACCUAUUUUGUUGGUUUCUAGGAUUGACGUAAUGAUUAAUAGGGAUAGUUGGGGGCAUUAGUAUUCAAUUGUCAGAGGUGAAAUUCUUGGAUUUAUUGAAGACUGACUACUGCGAAAGCAUUUGCCAAGGAUGUUUUCAUUAAUCAAGAACGAAAGUUAGGGGAUCGAAGACGAUCAGAUACCGUCGUAGUCUUAACCAUAAACUAUGCCGACUAGGGAUCGGAUGAUGUUAAUUUUUUAAUGACUCAUUCGGCGCCUUACG
rnacentral:rRNA from 1 species